AUUGGAGGACAAACAGUUUUCGACCGUGUGGUGUCGUGUCAUGUGGUGGCAAUGCUGGUAUAAUGUGCCAUUCAAGUUCUACAGUACUGGACAUUCUAUCAUUUACACGCGUCAAACUGGUCAACACGGUUGCCCUCGGUACCAGCCCAAAGGUAUCUCAGAAUGUGUGUCAAAGUUCUUACCGGUGGAGUGGGAGCAUGCAGGUGAUGGAGAGGCAACUCAGCAACUGUGUACUGAUUGUUCAAGUACUGUGGAGAAGAAAGAGGAAUAUGAUAUCAUUUAAAAAAAAUUGUGUUUUCUUUUUUAAUUGAUUUGUCCAGCCUUACCUGCUUGUUAGCAUGCUCGUUUCCUGUCAUUUGGCUGGACAGCGACUGGUCGUUGAGGUCUGCUGAAUAGGUUAGCUGGUCGCCCAGGUAGCCUAUACCAUCUUCUGUUAACAGAGUUAACAUUGGCAGCUCUUCUGGGUCGACGAGUGGGGGUGGUGGUGAAAGAUUUAGAUGGUUGUCCAGGACGUCCAUCUCCACCAUGGGUUCCAGAAGCGGCAUCAGGAGCUCGUACCAUUUCACCUCCUCUCCAGUAGCCUCUCUUAGCGUCAGCUCCAUGCUGGUGCAAAGAUGGAGAAUGCUGUAAAACAACCAGAAAAAUAAGUUUAAACCUCCACAUUUGAAUAAA